rnacentral:tRNA from 1 species
GUUUCCGUAGUGUAGUGGUCAUCACGCUCGCCUCACACGCGAGAGGUCCCCGGUUCGAAACCGGGUGGGAACA